AAAAAAUUCGUCUAUUCUGCAUCAAGCAUUCUGUUCUGAUUUGAUUUUCUUCCUCUAGUGUUCAUUCAUAGAACUAGGUACUAGGAUCACAUUGUUGCUGCAGGAGGCUUCCGGAAAUGCUGGAAGUGGCCACUUUUACAACCAUUAAAACGAUACGAAAGCUACCAGUGAUGCAAAGACCCAUGGAAAGAUACAUGCUCAGCAUUACAAGAUAGAAAGACCUGCAUAUGGAUUAGAGAACUAGAGAUAAUAUACGAUAUUAUCAAGAGAGUAAAAUAAUUGAAAUGGAAAUGGGGCUGGUCACAUAGCAAACAUUUAUUUAUAGUGGGAUAUAAUAUGAACCUGACCUACUUAUUACAUACACAUUAAACUUGAUCUCUAAGAGGACAA